rnacentral:rRNA from 1 species
AACGAACGCUGGCGGCAGGCUUAACACAUGCAAGUCGAACGCCCCGCAAGGGGAGUGGCAGACGGGUGAGUAACACGUGGGAACAUGCCCAAAGGUACGGAAUAUCCUCGGGAAACUGGGAGCAAUACCGUAUGUGCCCGAAAGGGGAAAGAUUUAUCGCCUUUGGAUUGGCCCGCGUUGGAUUAGCUAGUUGGUGGGGUAAAAGCCUACCAAGGCGACGAUCCAUAGCUGGUCUGAGAGGACGACCAGCCACACUGGGACUGAGACACGGCCCAGACUCCUACGGGAGGCAGCAGUGGGGAAUCUUGGACAAUGGGCGCAAGCCUGAUCCAGCCAUGCCGCGUGAGUGAUGAAGGCCUUAGGGUUGUAAAACUCUUUCGUCGGGGACGAUAAUGACGGUACCCGAAGAAGAAGCCCCGGCUAACUUCGUGCCAGCCGCCGCCGUAA